UACGUAGGGCGCAAGCGUUAUCCGGAAUUAUUGGGCGUAAAGAGCUCGUAGGCGGUUUGUCGCGUCUGCCGUGAAAAGUCCGGGGCUCAACUCCGGAUCUGCGGUGGGGUACGGGCAGACUAGAGUGAUGUAGGGGGAGACUGGAAAUUCCUGGUGUAGCGGUGAAAAUGCGCAGAUAUCAGGAGGAACACCGAUGGCGAAGGCAGGUCUCUGGGCAUUACCUGACGUGAGGAGCGAAAGUGUGGGGGAGCGAAACAGG
rnacentral:rRNA from 1 species